UUACAAAGGGUCGCCAUUAAAACUUGAUUUAUGAAGCGUACGAAAUUGCUGUUCGGACUUAUAUAUUUUUUUUUCUUCUAUUUUUUCUACUAACCAUAUACGUACACUGGAAGUUCUUAGUUUUCAAAUGACAGCAACUCAAAGUUAACCAAUCAGAACGAGACAACAAUAGAAAUGGUGAGUCUGGAUUGCAAAUGUGAAAAAUGUCUCCCGACCUCUACACCUUUCAACUACUUGGAGCGUGAAGCGAUUUCGUUCAGUGGUAUGACAUCAUCAGACUGGAAAACAUCGAUGACUGAUGAUACUUGGGAUUUCAGGAUUUUCCAUAAUAAAGAAAAGAACAGUAGGACGUUUAGUCAUUUUUUUGAACGAACUUUAUUUCACGGUACGUGAACUGUAUUCGCAGGUGCCUAUAGGAUUUAUAUAUUUACACAGAAGACGACGCUGCUAAAAGACGCCGAACAUUUGUAUUUCGGCAGCUAAAUUUAACGGAGGACAAAUCUUAAAAGACGCGCCAAGGAUAGCGUGUUUUCUAGGAAUAGCGAGUAAGGAAAUAGAAAAGAAAAUUACAAAGCGAGACACAUGCAUAUUUCAUGUAACGUUAUCCGGCUAGGAAUCGAAUUAUCGGGACGCCACAAAAGCUCACCACGGGUCGAUAGGUAUUGACCGAGACGUCGGGACGCUUCAAUUGUUAUACAAUGGAAAAGCGUCAAUCGUGACGUAUUCAUGUAAAAAUAAUUUUAAUUCUGGUGAAUGGCCCGUCUGUUUCUUGUCGAUUCCUAAUAAGGAAUUUAAACGUCAGAUUAUCAUUGAUAGAAGCGAAUGAAUAUGCAUUGCUUACAGUCUGCAUCGAUUGGAUGAACGGAUUUGUUACGGGAGAUACGAAAAUCAAUAGUGGAAUUCUAUUUUGUUAUGCAUAUGGAGAUGUUGCUUUUUUUAUUUAAUGUGGAAAUUAUUACGGUCGUUUUCAUUAUUCAAAUUAGGCACGACAGUUGAUAGAGUUUUUGGUAUAAGAUGUGUAGUACGGUGAGCGUGUGCAUUUACGACUUUCAUUUUCUUUUGAAACGCGAAGACUGGAACUUAACGAAGAUUUGAGAAGAAUGCAUUUUAAAGUAGUCGUUUUGCAUAAUUGUACGGGAUCCUCGCGUGCCACAGAGUUGGUCCGUUGGAAAGAGAAGAGAAAGAAAAAUCGUUUGGUCUCGUUUCUAUCUUGUAAGGUAAAAGGUAUAAGCCUGCAAUUUACAUGCAUUUGGAAAUAUCAUGGAAAAUAUGGGAGAUUGUCAAUUCUAUUUUUUCUGUUUUUCAAUGUGUUUUCGUCUAUGGAGAUAAACGGUUUGAAUAUAUAGCCGUUGGGAAGUCAAAUCAAAAGAUACAAAUUUAUGAUUUUAAUGACUAGUCUUAUGCUUUUUUUAU